rnacentral:lncRNA from 1 species
GCACCAUUUAAUAAUUGGCAUUGCAGCUAGAAUAAAGCAGACUUGCUGAGUCUUCUAACCAACAUGUUUCUCCAGUGAUGGAUGCUUCCUGCACUGGAACAUCAGACUCCAAGUCCUUCAGCUCUUGGACUCCUGGACUUAUACCAGUGAUUUGCCAGGGGAUCUCCAGCCUUCAGCCAGACUUAAGGCUGUACUGUUGGCUUCCCUAGUUUUGAGGUUUUGGGACGCAGACUGGCUGCCUUUCUCCUCAGUCUGCAGAUGGCCUAUUGUGGGACUUCACUUUGUGAUCAUAUGAGUCAAUACUCCUUAAUAAACUCUUCUUCCUAUAUUUAUCUAUCCUAUUAGUUCUGUCCCUCUAGAGCAUCCUAAUACAGUCACAAACUAAAUAUUAUGUUUCUUUUAAAUGGUAUGCCAUUAAAAUAACACUAUUUCAUCAUUUCCAUUAGCCCUCUGUAUCUAUGGGUGCUACAUCCAUGGAUUCAACCAACUGUGGACUAAAUACAUACUUCUGAUCAGCAUUUGCUUGAAUUUGCAGAUGUGGAACCUGCAGAAGCAGGGGGCUGACUUAAGAGAUAAGGAUCUGCAGACUCUGACAUCCAUGAUAAUCAGCAAAGAUUACCUCCUGACACAUAGCAAUGACUUGAUAAGUUAAUUGCAAGAAGUACAACUUUACCCAUAGAAAGUCCUCUCACAAAAUUAAAAUUAAAUGUUCUAAUUGAGAAUUGAAGGGAGUUUCUGGAAUGACAGGUUAUGUAUCAGCCAGAGCCUACAUCACCAGGACUUGAAGGACAGCAGCACAUCUUCAGUGAGUACCUACUAUGAGGUAAUCACUACCUCACACUUUGCUUCUCAUGAUAAGUUGCCAUCAUGUAUUACUACUUAUAGUGUUUUGAAUAUCCAUUUUUGUUCUAUUUUUUUCUACACUAGUCUCUAUCUAGAACAUUCAUAUUGUCUUUCACUUCUAUAUCAUUUAUUCUUUUGCUGCUAUUACUUUUAUUUAUUAUAUACUGGGAUGGGGUUGGGACAAAAUAAUAACCAAACCUAAUAAAGCAGUAAUAACCAAACAUAAUAAAAAUAAAAUAUAACAAAACUGUUUUCCUGAGAAUCUUACUGUAACGCUAUAGGAUAAGUUCAGUACCUGUUUGGGGGCAUUAUGAAAAAUUCCAUAAUAGUACUCUUUACAUCUCAUUUAAUUAUCUGGGUUUUCAUGAGAGCAGUGACCAUGUCAAUCUUGUGUAUGCCUGUGGAAAAUACUUGGCAAAAAAUAGACUUUCCAUAAAAAUGAGUUGAUUCAUAAAUUACUUUUUAUUUGCAAAGAUAUGAAACCUCAGCAUGUAGUUGUUUUUGAGUAGUUUGCUUCUGCAAAAUGAUUCCAUUGAUAUAUCACUUCACAGAGAACAGUAAUAAGAAAUAAACUGAUGAACUGGGAACUAUUUCUUUCUUUACAAACUGGCAGAGUUAUGCUUUUAUAUUUUUCUUUAAUAC